UCACUUCCAAUACUAAACGCGCAUUUGUUCCUGCCGUCCUUCUUUCUAGCUUUCCAGCUACCCAUUUUCUCUUUCUACUUGCCCAUUUUCUUUCUCUGGAAACUUUCCAAGAAAGCUCUGAGAAAAUCUUGUCUUAAUAUAUCAAGAGUUCACAAUCUUGUCUGUGUAUUUUGGGAUGGGUGUAUCAAAGAGCAACAAGCAGCAUCAAUGUUACAUUGCAGUGCCAUCUCAGAUAAUUAAUUCACUUCCUUCUUCAGCUCUUCAAACUCUACUAGAAGAAGCUCCCAAGAAAAAGACAAAGACUAGUGAUCCUUCCAAGUUGAAGCUUUUGCUCACUAAUCCAAGAUUCUGGAUUUUCUUGCUUUUUCUCUUUGCUUUUGCUGGGAUAUUGUUAAAUAUGUGGCUCAACUUUGAUCCUUUCUCACAAUACCCAUGUUCCAUUUCUCAAGAAAAGGGUCAAAUCUCUGCUGCCCCUCAGCUCAGUAUUGCUGCUGUGAAUGAAAAAAGUAUAGUGAAUGAAAAGAGUAGUGAGUUCUGGAAGCAACCUGAUGGGUUGGGUUACAGGCCUUGUUUGGAUUUUAGUGCAGAGUACAGAAAGGUAAGCGUGGAGAUUUUGAAGGAUAGGAAUAAGUAUCUAAUGGUAGUAGUUUCUGGGGGAAUGAAUCAGCAGAGAAAUCAGAUUGUUGAUGCUGUUGUCAUUGCAAGAAUUCUUGGUGCUGCUUUAGUUGUUCCCAUUUUCCAAGUCAAUCCUAUUUGGGGUGAUGAAAGUGAGUUUUCUGAUAUUUUUGACAUGGAUCAUUUCAAAAAAGUUUUGGCAAAUGACGUGCGAAUAGUUUCAUCGCUUCCGUCUAUACAUGUUAUGACAAGGCCAGUGGAGGAGAAACACACUCCUCUCCAUGCUUCCCCUCAAUGGAUACGCUCACAUUAUACCAGAAAGCUUAGAAGGGAUGGAGUUCUUCUUUUGCGAGGUCUUGACUCAAGGCUAUCUAAGGAUCUACCAUCCGAUCUUCAGAAACUUCGUGGCAAGGUAGCUUUUCAUGCUUUGAGGUUUAACCCAUCGAUCUUAGAGCUUGGUAACAAACUUACAGAGAGGAUGAGGAGCAAGGGACCAUAUCUUGCUCUUCAUUUGCGAAUGGAGAAGGACGUGUGGGUGAGGACUGGAUGUCUUCCUGGUUUAAGUCACGAGUAUGAUGAAAUGAUAAACAAUGAGCGGAAGCACAGACCUGACCUCUUAACUUCAAGGUCAAACAUGACCUACCAUGACAGGAAGCUUGCUGGUCUCUGCCCCUUGAACGCAUUGGAAGUUGCAAGGUUGAUCAAGGCUCUGGGAGCUCCAAAGGGUGCUAGAAUAUAUUGGGCUGGUGGAAUUCCGUUGGGUGGGAAAGAAGCCCUGCAGCCAUUGACCAAGGAAUUUCCACAUUUCUAUAACAAAGAGGAUCUUGCUUUGACUGGGGAGCUUGAACCAUUUGCAAAGAAAGCAUCACUUAUGGCUGCUAUUGACUACAUAGUGUCGGAGAACAGCGACGUUUUCAUGCCAUCUCAUGGUGGAAACAUGGGCCAUGCCAUUCAGGGACACAGGGCCUACGCAGGGCACAAAAAGACUAUCACUCCUAACAAGAGACAGAUGCUCCCACAUUUUCUUAACUCAUCUCUCUCUGAGACAGAGUUCAACAGAAUUAUACUGGAUUUGCACAAAGAUUCGUUAGGUCAGCCGGAACUCAGGAAGACAGGAAGGGAUGUUACAAAGUACCCUGUCCCAGAAUGCAUGUGCAACACUACUACUAUCCAUUCCUCCGUGUAAACUCCUUUCGUACUAACCAGACAAUUUAGCGAUGAUAUAAGAAUCGUUGACAAUGUGAAUCAGGAGCAUCACUGCAUCUGUGGGAUUAGCCCUCCCUUAAGAUAUAGUCUCUUACAUUCCACAAAGAGGGCUUUCUCAGGUGCAACACUGUUCGGAAGGAGGGCCUAAGGCAGAGAUGCACUAUCAUCAAAACACCGGUAGUUUUCCAGCUUGUCCAUAGCAUACAAGCAGGUAUUGUGUUCUAUGUUUCCUAUCUUCCUUCCUAGACAGCUGCUGGUUAGAUCACCAGGCAAACAUAGAUAGGAAGUUGAGUAGCUAUGGGACAGUUCAAAAAGAAAAAUGAUGUCUAUUGAGUUACCGGAGCAAAGGUAACGUCUAUUGCAUAAGGUGUAACCUCUUUGUCAUAUAACCAUUGUGCAAUGCUUUUCAAACAAAACCGAUGAAUUUGAGUGGAGCCUUAAAUUUCCAUGUAAGUUCCAUUGCCAGAGGGCGCUUGAGUACAGGAGCUGACACAACAGUUGCCAAUAUUGUCUUCUUUUCCAGAUCAUUCUGUCAGCUUCGGUUGUUGGAGGAGGAAUGCAUACAAUUAAUUAGCAACAUGUUUUUUCAUCAGCAAUGCACAAAACAUGUCUGAUCCAAACUUUUAUAUUUGGGUCAGAAGCCAAAACCAUAUGGUACUUUGAAUAUUUCUUUUCUCAUACCUGCAUUUUCAUCAUCCAUUUAAAUUUCAUCUUCUAGUGAGCAAAAAGGCAUGGCCAUCCUGUGAACCAUGUUUAUACUAUUCUCUGCAUUAUUUUUA